UUUUUGCUUAUAUUCAUGUGUUCAUAUAUGUAUGUGUUUCUUAGUUUCAUUAAAUGUUUCCGAAUCUCCCAGGAUAAAAGAGAUAUCAGCAGAUCUUUCUUACUUAGCCUUCCGAGCUUAUUUCUCAGCAUUGUGGAAUCGAGGAAUCGAAUGUUGCUUGAGGUACCAGUAUUAUGUGUACAUAUGGUUGUAGAUUCUCGAUCAGUAAUAUACUGAGAGCUAUCAUCUUUUUGUUCACUCUUGAUAAUCAUAUGCAUGAGUUUUUGCACAUCAUUAAGCUUUAGUAAAUCUUGUCCGCUUCUCCAGAGAAGAAAAAAAAUAACUAAAACUAUACAGAAAGGAAAAAGGUGAGUGUUACGAAUAAAUAAAUUUAUGUUGGCCACUCAGAAUGGUUCAACGGACAUGAAACAGGAACAUGGUUAGUCAUAUUUUGUGAUAAAUACACUGCGUUUAAAUAUAUUAUAUUAUAGUUUAGUGACCUAAAUUGUUGGCGAAUUGUAACUAUGUAAACUGAACCGAUUUUAAUGACGUACAUGUUUCCAUUUCUAAGUCUUCGAUUGAUCCCUGACAGUAAUUGCAAUCGGCUCAGGCUCUUUUGUGCGUCAUGCAUUCACUGACUCACAAUCGAAUUGUGCCUCGACCAACCUGACACGACGCGCCCAUUCCCCUUACUGAGCAAAAGGGCAGGGUGCCACACAUACGAUUAAAACUUUUCAUUCAAAAAACUUUCAAUUUAGAUUCAUACAAGGAGGUAAAGAAUUGUUCCAGUUCGACCGUGCGAACGCACCAGCUCCGCAUAUACGGACGCUGCAGCGUUAUUUAAAAGCAAAAUCGGAGCAAUUUGAAGAAGGUCGCUUGAUGAUUGUCGAGCUAAAACGUUACUUAAUUUAUAAUAAUUAUCCCCUGGUAGUCUGCUGGAGUGAGGACGCAACAAGGAUAACCGGAGGAGUUGAAUAUAACACUCAACAUGAUAAAAUAACUGGACUAGUGGCUCCUCUAAAUGAAUACGGAAUGCCUACAAUGAAUCUUUUUAGUUGUUCAUCACCUGCAAACGUUAUACCGCAUUUGAAAAACUUUCCGAUUGGACGCAACGUACAUGUCAAUGGUGCAACCAUUGGUAUCGCAUGCAGCACCUUUCUGUAUCAAUUAUUUUUGCACGGUUUUCUACAAGCGAUGUUUUAAAAAAGUGGAAAUUCGUCAAACAAGUUUUUGAAAAAGAAGGCAUCUGCAUUGCGUGUAAAGCAACAGAUGGAGAUAGUCGUUUUAUUAGCGCCAUGAUCUAUCAAAUGAAGUUACCACUGGAUGAAGAAAAUCAGUUUGGGGAAUGGUUCGUGGCAGCUACCGAUGGCGAGAUCUGUGUACAGGAUCCUACACACCUCGCAAAUAAGUUUCGUACAAGACUCGUAAAACAAGACAUUCAAUUGCUUUUAGGAAAGUACCGAGUAUCCAAACUACAUCUGGAAGGACUAAUUAGUGAUGUAUAUAAGGAUAGACACGUAUUGACUCUUGCCGAUAUAAACGAGAAUGAUAAAAUGAAAUUUAAACCGGUAGAAAAAAUCACUUCAGAAAAAGUUAUCUCAAAUAUGAAAGCGUUGCAUGAACCCGAAACUUGGUCAGGAUCUAACUCCAACUGCAAUCAUAUCAUAAAAGUUGACAGGAGUUAGAACCUGAUUCAAUUUCGCUUCAAGCUAAAAAAACAAGAACAUAUUUCAACGCAUAAUAUAAUAUAUUAUAAGAAAAAUUAAA